CGGCACCUGAUUUGAGCCAUACACGCUGCCGUCACCGCCGGAGAUCAGACUGAGGAGGCAGAGCGGCAGACAGGAGAAGCGCGCGCUGCGCUCUCCACACACCAACGAUAAAGAAUUUCAGCAUCUGCGGAGAGCGCGGGCAGGAAGCGUUCUGCGUUCCGUCAGCUGUGACCUUUACCAGAGACAUGCUGCCAGCGCAGAUAAAGCUGAAGGGCGACGACUGCGCCAAGCUGGACUCCCGGAUUUCUCCUUCUCAAAAUAAAUGAAGCUUCUGUCCAAAGAUGUAACAAGUCAGGCUGAAGAGCUGACAAACCGAACACCGAGAAUGAUCUCCCCAAGAUGAACGUUGUCUCUUUACAGAUAACGUAUGAAGAUGAUGUUGUUAUACUAAGUAAAAGACAGUGAUCGGAGGCAUCAGCAUCAUUACUGUAGCCCUGGCAUUACUACGCUGGACAGAUUCCCUCAUUAAUACCAGCAAAGAUAGAACAGGCAAGUGGAGAAAGUUCCAAUUUGACACCUUGGAAUUUGUCUUAUUAAAAUUCCGCAGCCUCCUA